AAAGCUCUGCUUACUGGACAUUUCCUCCAGUGCUCAAGUCACUGCUUACUCAGGCCUUGUGUUCAACAACUGCUUUAUUUUACAGUUUUUCUUCUGCAAUCACAUAUUUGCAGAUUUCUUUGACUCAUAAACCAUCUUACAGUAUUCGUGAAACAAAUAAAAAAAUUCAGCAAUGUGUUUUCUGUGGCUGCACAUCAAAUACAAAUAAAUGUGUAUCUGAUUACAUAAUCAACACAUUAAUUUGAUGCAUCAUGACACACGUUAUGUGGACGAUAUCUAUUUAAACCUCUUAAACCAGACAACU